CUCAACUUUGGUUCCUGAUUUAGGUUUUAAGCAGGGUUUUUCCUCAUUUCUCUUUCAGAUUCAAAAAAAUGUAGAAAAUAUUAGCAUCUUUGCCUCAAUCCCUUCAAGUCCGUUGUUCCCAAAAUUGAUUCCGUUGUCUACCCAUUCCUUGUCAUUUUCCCCAGAAAAUGUAGGAAAAUGAAAGAAAAUUUUUUUCAAUCUUAUAUUUUGCAUGGAACGUUAGAUGGGUUUAUCAUUUGCUGGAAGCUUCAAAUAAUUUUCCCUCCACUUUCUUGAGCACAAUUAGGGUUUCAGUGUUCCCAGAUUAUAUUUUUAAAAGAUUGAAAGAGCUAGUCUUGUAUAUCACCUGCAUUUGCAAUCAGGGAAAAUGGUGACUACCAAAUUGAUUGUGUGCCAACUCCUCUACUGAUUCCCGCAAUGAAGAUAGGGUUGAUCAUGAAGAGGAGAGCAUCACUGAAGUAGACAAAGACAUUGA